UGGGGAAUAUUGCACAAUGGGCGCAAGCCUGAUGCAGCCAUGCCGCGUGUGUGAAGAAGGCCUUCGGGUUGUAAAGCACUUUCAGCGAGGAGGAAGGUGGUGAGCUUAAUACGCUCAUCAAUUGACGUUACUCGCAGAAGAAGCACCGGCUAACUCCGUGCCAGCAGCCGCGGUAAUACGGAGGGUGCAAGCGUUAAUCGGAAUUACUGGGCGUAAAGCGCACGCAGGCGGUUUGUUAAGUCAGAUGUGAAAUCCCCGGGCUCAACCUGGGAACUGCAUUUGAAACUGGCAAGCUAGAGUCUCGUAGAGGGGGGUAGAAUUCCAGGUGUAGCGGUGAAAUGCGUAGAGAUCUGGAGGAAUACCGGUGGCGAAGGCGGCCCCCUGGACGAAGACUGACGCUCAGGUGCGAAAGCGUGGGGCAGCAAACAGGAUUAGAUACCCUGGUAGUCCACGCUGUAAACGAUGUCGAUUUUGGAGGUUGUGCCCCUUGAGGCGUGGCUUCCGGAGCUAACGCGUUAAAUCGACCGCCUGGGGAGUACGGCCGCAAGGUU
rnacentral:rRNA from 1 species